AGUUCUUAGGCUCUUAGGCUGGGAGGUUGCUCCGCCUUUUUCUGCGAUCUUCUCCACAAAUAACGUUUCCUGCCAUGGAUCGUGGGUUCAAUAAACUCCCAAUUAUAACCUCCUCCAUGAUAUACACUACGGUUAUGUCUCCAGAGUCGUAUUACCACUAUCUCCAAGCCUUACACCUUCAACUUUCCCUGAUCUCUUACUUAUCAUCAGAAGAUCCAAUUAGGGUUUCUCCUCCCUCUUCGGGCUUUAAGAUCAUGGAAGUGAGAAGUUCCACCACCAACACUAUCUAUAUCCACUCUAAGGAGGAGUUCAUCAACAAAGUUCAAGAAAAAUUCAAUAACAAUGGUGGUCCUGGUGAAGACAUUGGCACCAUAAACUGAAUUAAGUUCCAAAAAAUAGCAAGGUCAAAGUAGAUUUCCCCCACUACGGCACAAUUGGAGUGUAACAUUUUGUAAAAUUUCUGAUCAAAAGCAACAAUGGCGAUAUUAUUCACAAUCAAUGGUGCAAUAAGGUACAUGAUUUGAGGCUCUUUUCGUUUUCAAUGAUCUGUAGAAUAUGUUACUCACUUUUUUUUUGCAAUUUUGUUUUUUUAUUUUUAUGAAUGAUUGUAUGAAACUUCUCUGGGGAAUAUUAUUUCCCUCUGGUCUCCAUUUCGUAUCAAACUUCUCUGGGAUUAAAUUUGCCAGGUUUGGUUAACAAGGGAAAACAUUCUCUACCAACAAGAUCGUCUUGAACUGCGCGAACUUCUACCUACAAAUGUUCAGCCGGCGAACAACAAAUUAAUCGAUUUAGUGGAUAUGAUAGUUGUUACUGAUGGAAGCCGAAUAAUAGGUCUUAGCAAUCUUGGAGUUUAGGGGAUUGGCAUUGCAAUAGGAAAGUUGGAUUUAUAUGUUGCUGCAGUUGGAACAAAUCCUUAGAGAUUAAUCUUUGCAUAUUAUCCAUCCCUAUAAUUUUUGUAAUUGUCUAUCACUCAAAAAGGAGAUGCUUUAUGUCAGGUUGGGUUAUCCGGAGGACUGGAGGAGUUUAAUGCGGAGGUAGUUGAGUUCCUUAUAAAGAUGAAGAAUCUUUAAAUAUUUGAGGAUCAUUGCUAUCUUUCUUCCAUAUUCUCCUAUUAAUAUAUAGAUUCUUUAUGUCGGGCUGAGUGUUCGAUAUGCUUAAACAAUCUAAGUUAUAACUUAUAUAUUAGCCCAAUAUGGAACGAAGAUCUAGUGUUUGUAGUAGCAGAACCGGUUCAAAGAAGCUUUAAUGUUAACCGUAGAAGAGAGGUAACAAAGAUGAGAUUAUAGGAAAAUGUUUGUUGCCAUUGUACUCGGUUCAUCGAAGAUGGGACAAUAAAGCCGUACACUCAAAAUGGCACAACCUUGAGAAACAUAAGGUGAUUGAUGGUGAGAAAAAAGAAGCAAAGUUCGCGAGUCGAAUUCAUCUAUGAGUGUGUUUGGAUGGAGAGUAUCAUGUGUUGGAUGAGUAUACAAAUUAUAGUCGCGAUUUAAGGCCGACAGCGAAGGAAAUAUGGAAACCGAGCAGUUGGAUUUUGGAGCUCGGGAUUAUAAGUGCGAAGGGGUUGUCGCCUAUAAAGACACGAGACUAUCGUGGGUCAACGGAUGCGUUUUGUGUGGCAAAGCAUGGGGCUAAAUUGGUUCGCACAAGGACGAUUAUUGAUAGUUUUUCGACAAUGUGGAAUGAACAGUAUACGUGGGAGGUUUUUGAUCCGUGUACGGUAAUAACGAUUUGGUGCGUUUAAUAAUGGGUUUUUGCAUAAGGGUAGUAACGAUUCAAGGAUUGGGAAAGUGAGGAUUCGGUUAUCGACUUUAGAGACGGAACGAGUGUAUAGUUUGCAGUAAUAAUUUUAUUAUCUUUUGUUUUGAGGAAGAAAGGCGACAGCAGUGUUGAUAUCAUCAAUUGUAGCCAUCAAGGUAUAUUUUUGUAUAUAUGCAUUAAUCAUAUACCUAUUACUAAUAUAUUAAACGUUGCGGGAUCAAGGGUAUGAAAAUGCUAGAAAAAGGGCAAUAGCUAAGCUUUGAUGGAAACUGGAUUAUGUAUUGAUGUUAGCAGCACUAAAGAAGAUGAUGACUGUAUUGACACAGAGACUCUCAUGAAUACCCCAACAAACGACAGAAGAUUGCAAGGGUUACGGUUAAUAGGCGAAACAAAGGCUCACCAUUUUCAUAGAGCAGAUCUUGCUAUGCUUAUGGUUGUUUUGUAACUUUUUUUUCCAUGCCAUUAGGUGAUCUGGCUAUGAGUUGUACGGUGGCUACGUUUUAUCUUAGGGUGUAAGGGGUGCUCACCUAAGAGGUGAGUCCCCUCUCUUACGCCCGACCAACCAGCUAUUGCCACGUCAA